rnacentral:rRNA from 1 species
UAACAAAGUAGGCGUAUUGGAAAAUGUGCCUGGUAUAAA